UGGGGAAUAUUGCACAAUGGGGGAAACCCUGAUGCAGCGACGCCGCGUGAACGAAGAAGGUAUUCGUAUCGUAAAGUUCUGUCCUAUGGGAAGAUAAUGACAGUACCAUAGAAGAAAGCUCCGGCUAAAUACGUGCCAGCAGCCGCGGUAAUACGUAUGGAGCGAGCGUUGUCCGGAAUUAUUGGGCGUAAAGGGUACGCAGGCGGUUUAAUAAGUCGAAUGUUAAAGAUCGGGGCUCAACCCCGCAAAGCAUUGGAAACUGAUAAACUUGAGUAGUGGAGAGGAAAGUGGAAUUCCUAGUGUAGUGGUGAAUUACGUAGAUAUUAGGAGGAAUACCAGUAGCGAAGGCGACUUUCUGGACACAAACUGACGCUGAGGUACGAAAGCGUGGGGAGCAAACAGG
rnacentral:rRNA from 1 species